rnacentral:tRNA from 2 species
GUAGCUCAGCUGGUUAGAGCACAUCACUCAUAAUGAUGGGGUCACAGGUUCGAAUCCCGUCGUAGCCACCA